rnacentral:lncRNA from 1 species
AGAACUUUGCAUACGUUUUUGGUUUUUUUCCCCUCGAUGUUGAUGUCUUGAGGCUGUGACUCUGGGCGGGCCUUAGCCAGUUGGAAACAGGCCGCGACUUCCAAGGGGUGGACUCACCUUCUUCGUCCCCCAGCAGCAGGUAGAUUCUUUAUGUUCAAGACGGCAAAUUCAGAUACAAAAGCCCACCGCCAUCAUGCCUCCUGCCCCCUCUGUCUGGGGCUGGGCUGAGGGGGACAGAUAGAGCAGGGGCGGGAGAUGGGGUGUUGACAGACUCAUGUAUCCCGUGCGGAGGUAACGGACUCCCCAGUGAGGGGGCUCCCCUAGGGGCAAGGGGGUGGCAGAGGGGGAGGGUAUUAUUGCGUUUGCUGAGGGCGGACACCCUGCUUCUGUAUCCCCUGCAUCAGGAAACUAGGGAGGUGACGCACGACCUGUACACCCAACCCGAGGUGCCAGGAAGACAGAGGGACCAGUUUGGCAGCUGAUGUGGAAUGUGUUGGGGGCGGGGGUGGCCGCCCGAUCUGGCUGGUGCCUCCCUGCACCUGACCCAGCUGAGGCAGGUGGGGAAUAGGGCUGGGGGCGGGGUUGCCUGGGGACCCCAGCCAGGCUGGGAACUGGCGAGGGGCUGGUAGCCACUGGAGUAGGGCAGGAUAAUGGGACCCCCAGUGGGCUGGAUGUGGAGCAUCCUGCACAUCUCUGCUUAGGGAGGCAGAACCCGGAAGUUUAGCGUGGCAGGGCGGUGUCAGGGAGUCUGAGGGCACUUUCACACAAAACACACCCAGACACCAGAGUGCCUUCUGGCAGGAUAGCUCCAUUUAGACUCUCCCAUCCUGACAGGCAGUCGCUGCUCCGGCUCUUGGGAUUUGCCUCUGGCCCUUGCCUUUUCCUCCCCAUGUCCGUCUGGAGAUGCCCCAGGAUUGAGGCUACCUGGAUUGACUGGCCUGUUGAGGGCAUCGGACCUGUCUUGCCCGAGCACCUCCCCGAUGUUUUGGAACUAGAAAGGCGCUGCUGUGUGGCCAUAAAAAGCUGGCCCCAACCACGUAACCUUUGCAGCUCGUCGUGUUAUUUUUGGUUCUUGCCAACACGGAUCACCGCUGUGACUCAACAGAGCCGCUGAAGCAAGAAUUCAAAGAGUUUAAAGAACAGCGAACCCAGAAGUGACUUUUUUUCCCUUAUGGUGUCAUUAUGCAACAUUUCUCGUAGUUUACCUUUGCAAAUUUACCAACUGCAUACAGAUGAGCUCAGCUGUUGUUUGGCACCUGAACCUCCGAGCUGCGUCAGCGCGCCUCCCCAGACCCCACUGCAGCCUGGGGACGGCGGACUUUCCUUUCUGGGGUGUUUGCUUUACGUCAGUCGUGACUUACUUUUCAGAGGUAAAAAAAAAUAUCUGUG